rnacentral:rRNA from 1 species
AACGAACGCUGGCGGCAGGCCUAACACAUGCAAGUCGAGCGAGACCUUCGGGUCUAGCGGCGGACGGGUGAGUAACGCGUGGGAACGUGCCCUUUUCUACGGAAUAGCCUCGGGAAACUGAGCGUAAUACCGUAUACGCCCUUUGGGGGAAAGAUUUAUCGGAGAAGGAUCGGCCCGCGUUGGAUUAGGUAGUUGGUGGGGUAAUGGCCUACCAAGCCUACGAUCCAUAGCUGGUUUGAGAGGAUGAUCAGCCACACUGGGACUGAGACACGGCCCAGACUCCUACGGGAGGCAGCAGUGGGGAAUCUUAGACAAUGGGGGCAACCCUGAUCUAGCCAUGCCGCGUGAGUGAUGAAGGCCUUAGGGUUGUAAAGCUCUUUCAGCUGGGAAGAUAAGGACGGUACCAGCAGAAGAAGCCCCGGCUAACUCC